rnacentral:rRNA from 1 species
AUACGGAGGAUCCGAGCGUUAUCCGGAUUUAUUGGGUUUAAAGGGUGCGCAGGCGGCCAUUUAAGUCAGCGGUUAAAUCGUGGGGCUCAACCCCAUCCUGCCGUUGAUACUGGGUGGCUUGAUUGCGGUCGAGGUUGGCGGAAUUCGUUGUGUAGCGGUGAAAUGCAUAGAUAUGACGAAGAACACCGAUUGCGUAGGCAGCUGACCAGACCGCAAAUGACGCUCAUGCACGAAAGUGCGGGGAUCGAACAGGAUUAGAUACCCUGGUAGUCCGCACAGUAAACGAUGAAUACUUGUUUUCGGCGAUAUAAUGUCGGAGGCAAAGCGAAAGCGAUAAGUAUUCCACCUGGGGAGUACGCCGGCAACGGUGAAACUCAAAUGAAUUGACGGGG